rnacentral:rRNA from 1 species
GACGAACGCUGGCGGCGGGCUUAACACAUGCAAGUCGAACGGAAAGGCCCUGCUUGUGUGGGGUGCUCGAGUGGCGAACGGGUGAGUAACACGUGAGUAACCUGCCCUUGACUUUGGGAUAACUUCAGGAAACGGGGGCUAAUACCGGAUAGGAGAUCCUGCUGCAGGGAGGGGGUGGGAAAGUCUCGGCGGGUGGGGAUGGACGCGCGGCUUAUCAGCUUGUUGGUGGGGGGGUGGCUGACCAAGGCUAUGACGGGUAGCCGGCCUGAGAGGGUGACCGGCCACCCUGGGCCUGAGGUGCGGCCGCGGCUCCUACGGGAGGCCGCAGUGCGGAAUCCUGCACCAGGCGCGGAGGCCGGAUGCAGCAACCCCGCGUGCGGGAUGGCCCCCUUCUGGUUGUAGACCGCUUUCACCUUUGACGACGCGUGAGUGGCGGUUAUGGGUAGAGUAGCACCCGCUUACCUCGUU